GCCAGCAGCCGCGGUAACACGUAGGAGGCAAGCGUUAUCCGGAUUUACUGGGCGUAAAGCGCGUGCAGGCGGUUUGGUAAGUUGGAUGUGAAAGCUCCCGGCUCAACUGGGAGAUGCCGUUCAAUACUGCCAGACUAGAGGACGGUAGAGGGAGGUGGAAUUCCCGGUGUAGUGGUGAAAUGCGUAGAUAUCGGGAGGAACACCAGUGGCGAAAGCGGCCUCCUGGGCCGAUCCUGACGCUAAGACGCGAAAGCAUGGGUAGCAAACGGGAUUAGAAACCCCGGUAGUCCAUGCCGUAAACGAUGCGAACUUGGUGUUGGUGGUGUAAAAACCAUCAGUACCGAAGCUAACGCGAUAAGUUCGCCGCCUGGGGGAUUACGAUCGCAAGGUUAAAACCUCAAGGAAUUGACGGGUUCC
rnacentral:rRNA from 1 species